rnacentral:rRNA from 1 species
GGGUAGAGUAAUGCGUGACCAACCUGCCCCAUGCUCCAGAAUAGCUCUUGGAAACGGGUGGUGAUGCUGGAUGCUCCAACUUGACGCAUGUCUUGUUGGGAAAGUGUUUAGUGGCAUGGGAUGGGGUCGCGUCCUAUCAGCUUGUAGGCGGGGUAAUGGCCCACCUAGGCUUCGACGGGUAGCCGGCCUGAGAGGGCGGACGGCCACAUUGGGACUGAGAUACGGCCCAGACUCCUACGGGAGGCAGCAGGG